AAAUCAAGGGUUAAUCAAGUUGAUCAAGCCUCGGAGCAUUCUGGACCGUCCAUUGAAGAUCAAGUAGAUCUGAGCCAUCCGUUGAAGAUUCGGCUCAUCCAACCUAAUGAGGAGUAGAUCUGAUACAUAGAGGAAGAUCGGUACUGUUGGAUCGGAUUUUAUGCUAUUUUCCACCGUUGAUCAAGAUCCGAAGAUUUUGAGCCGUCUGAUCAGAUUGAAGAUGAUUUAAAAGCUUCGUGAGAAGCUACAGUGCGGUGAGCUCGGCGAUCUCGCGAUUCUGGCCACUGUUCAUCCUUCUUCUCCGCGACGCCGCAACCUCCCAUUCCAUACUUCCAGAUCCAGGAUUCAAUCUCUUCGUCGCCGGCGAGCUUUCUAUGAUCCAGCAACCAGCAAACGAAGCGCGGAGCAGCGAUUAAGGGGCGUUCUCCGGUUGUGAUCUUGCUGUCCGCGGGCUACAUCCAGGCAAAGAUUUAGGGGCGCUCUCUGAUCUAAGCUGCUGCCAUUCUCUCUGGAGGAUUUAGGGGCGUUCUCCGGUUCUCCAGAGAUCGAUCCAUCUUCAUUUCCACCUCGCGUCUCCGGAUUUGGCAAGAGUGCUCUGUUUCUUCGUCGGCAGGUGAUUUCGGGUGAAUCCGAGCUAACUAGGGCGUUCUCUAUAGUUCUGGACUUCUCCUGAAUGUGCUGGUUAUUUAGUGGAUUGUUGGUGAUUGCCACAAGGGCGUUCCCUGAGGCAGCUCUGUGCCAUGGCAGAGGCGAAGGAUGUGGAGCUUGGUUUUGGGUUUGUGGAAUGCUUUAGGGUUUAGAUUUCUUUGUUUUAGUCUUUGAAUUGUGCUCGACCUGCUCAGAUCUUCAGAUCUGAAUCCUUACAUUGCAAUUUAAUUGUUGUUUGAGUUUUUGUAAUUCCAGUUUCAAUUUCUGUUUGCAAUCCCGACCUUGAUGAACUUUUGCAAUUAAUUUCUUUUCGGUUUAGACUUUAUAAAAUUGUUUAUAGUUAGUAUGUAGGUUUUUGGUAAUUUAGUUAGCAAUUUAGUGAUUAAGAAAUUAAUCUUUGAGGCUAUGAACUUGUUUAGUGUUGGAAGCUUAAUCUGAUGUUUGGAUUGUUUACCUCUAUUCUUUGUUAUUGAGAAUGACUUUCUUGAGAUUAAUUGUUAAUUGUGAUUGAGUAUAGAAGAUUUGGUGAUUGAGUUGAGUUUUAACUUUGAAUGUGAUGGUGAUGGAAUGUUAGGUUCGGUUCUUGAAAUUGCAAUAAGAUUUUGAAUGUAAUGUGGUUAGAUGAAAAUGAACUUUCUUUGAUGCUAUUCUUGGUCUAGUUGAAAUUAGAUUUUGAUGGGAACCAAUUUUAGAAUUCACACACCUACUAGUUAUCCUUGGAAAAAUACGACUUGAGACUCCAUACUACAUCUCUUAUUUUUAGUUUUGAAAUGUUCCAAUAUUAAUUAAUUUGAUGCACCACGUGACAUGUAAUAUGGUUGACACCAAUGUGGUUUUUGCGGUUGUUAGCUGUUGACAUAAACUUAGGAAAUGACUGUGCAUGGACAUUUAUGUCAGACUAACAGAAAGGAUUGAUUCCUGCUUUGGACAGUUUGUUUCCGAAUGCUGAGCACAGAUUUUGUGUACGACAUAUGCAUAGCAACAUGAAAAAUGAUGGAUAUAAAAGUGUAGCCAUUAAAAAUGCUUUGUGGGAUGCUGCAAAGGCUACAACAGUUCAAGAAUUUCGUAAGAGGAUGCAAGAGUUGAAGGAGAUUGAUCGUAAUGCAUAUGAGUGGUUAGCAAAAAAGCAUGAGAAUCAUUGGAGUAAGGCAUUUUUCAGCACUAUCCCCAAAUGUGAUAUAUUGUUAAAUAAUAUGUGUGAGUGCUUCAAUAGUUUGAUUUUGGAUGCAAGAGAGAAAUCAAUAAUUGAAAUGUUUGAAGCAAUCAGAAAUUUGUUGAUGCGGCGAUUUCAGUUAAAUCGUGAGAAGGCUGAAAAAUGGAAUACAAGAAACUGUCCAAGGAUAAGAGCUAUCUUAGCUAAAAUUUCUUUGGAGGCUGCCAAACUUAUUCCUAUGAAAUCAGAUGAUAUGCACUUCCAAAUUAAGGCUACAAGCAGUCAAGAGCAGCACACGGUGGACCUUUCUACAAAUUCUUGCAGUUGUAGACAAUGGGAUUUGACAGGUAUUCCAUGCAAGCAUGCAUUAUGUGCACUUUGGUGUAAACAUGAAGACGCUGAUGCUUUUGUUAGUCACUACUACAAGACUGAAGCUUACAAGAAAUGUUAUUCAAGAUCAAUAAUGCUGAUUAAUGGGCCUGAUUUGUGGCUAGAUUGUGUGUUUCCUCCUCCACUUCCUCCAGCUUAUAAUAAGAACAAAGCUGGAAGACCGGCCAAAUUGAGAAGAAGAACCUGACGAACCUCCAGCAAAAUGUCAUACCAAAUUGAAAGCUCCACAUAGACAAAACAAAUGCAAGAAAUGUGGCCAUUUAGGUCAUAAUCAAAGGACUUGUACAGAUGGCAGAAACACACAACAAGAGGCAACUUCACAGCAAAGUAGUGUUCAACCAACAAACAUCAAUUCGGUACUCAAUACAAGGGAGAAAGUACAAGUUAGUUAAAAACAUUCUAUGAAAAUAGUUUCUUAAAGUUUUGUUAACAAUUGUAAUUUUGAUAUAGGUGAAGCGACCAAAUAGAAUUGAGAUACAGAUUGGAGGGAGCUCGAACACCUUAUCAAAUGUGAAUAUGAUAGACAGAAACACACAACAAGAUGCAACUUCACAGUAAAGUAGUGUCCAACCAACAAACAUCAAUUCGGUACUCAAUACAAGGGAGAAAGUACAAGUGAAGAGACCAAAUAAAAUUGAGAUACAGAUUGGAGGGAGCUCGAACACCUUAUCAAAUGUGAAUGUGGAUCAAUCUAUCAUCAUUCAAACACCAGUGUUUGUCAAAGGUGGUAGAAAUUACACCACAAUCUCCAAACUUCGAUCGAUAUCAAGCGAUUCAAGAAGACAAGUUCAAUCAAUGUCUCAACCAGUGUCAAAGCCUAGGUCUGGCCCAAAUAUUUCGAAGAAGAAAAUAACUUCAUCACAAUCUUCUGUCAUCAAGAAAUGAUCAAUGCUUGUUGUACGAAUUUUGGAUUUUUACUUUUGGUACUGGCGUUUGUUGUGUAUUGGUACUGGUGGAUGUUGUGUAUUGGUACUGGUGGAUAUUUUUGGUGCUUAUGGUUGUUAUGUUCUAGUUAGGCACGAUAUUUUAGUGUUGAAGUUUAUGU